UAGUAAGAGUGUACGGUCGGAAUACGUCUACAGUUCAUUUGUCCUAAUUUGGAAUUUGGAAUAAGAAGAAGAAGAAUCCUGAGAAACGCACCUUUUACGAUACGCCCCUCCGACGAAAUCGCCACCUUUUGUAGACUAACACCGUGUCGAAAGCUCAGAGCCAGAGCCAGUGACGCUGUCUCACUCCUCCGAUUAAAAAGUUUUGCUCUUUUCUCGAUUCCCGAUCGUCCCGAUGUCGAAAAGGAUCCUUUGCAAGUUCUUUGCUCACGGUGCUUGCUUAAAAGGAGACAACUGUGAGUUCUCACAUGACUGGAAGGAUCCUUCAAACAAUAUUUGCACUUUCUACCAAAGAGGCAACUGCUCUUACGGAAGCAGAUGCAGGUACGAACAUGUCAAACCUUCCCGCCCUCCUCAUCCAUCUCCCGCCUCAUCUUCCACCUACCUAUCUUCUGCCUUUGUUUCCGAAAGAGAUUUAAGCUCAUCACCAGCGUGGACUUUGGCUUCCUUAGACGAUGAGGUCAACAACACUGACGCAACCAAACCAGAAGACCAACCCAUCUGCUCAUACGCCGCAGCUGGCGACUGCCCACGCGGCGACCAAUGCCCCCACAUCCACGGAGACCUCUGCCCAACGUGUCAGAAACAUUGCUUGCAUCCCUUCAGACCAGAGGAGAGAGAGGAGCACAAGAGAUCGUGCGAGAAGAAGCACAAGCAGCUCGAAGCGUUGAAGCUUAGCCAGGACGUGGAGUGCUGCGUCUGCUUGGAGCGUGUGCUCUCUAAACCCACUCCGGCCGAACGGAAGUUCGGGAUACUCACCGAGUGUGAUCACGCUUUCUGCAUAGGGUGCAUCAGGAACUGGCGCAGCAGCGCUCCUUCAACUGGUAUGGAUGUCAACAGCACGCUGAGAGCUUGCCCCAUAUGCCGCAAGCUAUCGUAUUUCGUUGUUCCUAGUGUCAUCUGGUUCUCAGAUCCUGAUGAGAAAAAGGAAAUUAUGGACAACUACAGGGACAAGCUCAGUCUAUCAGGUCAAUUGAUUGCAAGCACUUCAAUUUUGGAGAUGGGAACUGUCCGUUUGGGACAAGUUGCUUCUACAAGCACACUGUGAAGCCAGGGUCAUAUGCAUGGAGACACCACAGGCCACCUCCAAGGCGUCCAAGGCCCACCCCUGGAUCUAACUUCUCAGAGAUUAACGCGUUUUUUAAUAUGAUGGCGAACGUAAUGUCAGAAGGAGAGUAUGGUUCCUUUGGAUUUGAAGAUUCGGAUGAUGAUGAUAAUGAACUGACUUCAACGGAUAUGAUGAUGUUACUGAUGAACUUGGAUAUGGACUCCGAUUAUGACUCCUCCAAUGAGGAUAGCUAUUAACAGUUUAAAGUUUCUAUUAAACAUGCGUUUCAUGAUGGUCGUUUGGAGGAAGUGGUUCUAAGGCAUCUAGAUGCAGAAGAUGGGCAGACUGUGAUAGCUAAAGAUAUAAGGUUGUCUGACUUUCUUGAGAAUAUGCACAUAUGAAUGAAAGACUCUUUUGGUACAAUAAAGAACAAGGGCAAAUAUGUUCUGAUGAACCUCUCUUUUUGUGGGAUUUUUUUUUUGUUCAUUCAUUGCAUUUGACUGAUUUGAGUUGGAAGAUUUUAACUUUGACACCAUUGCUUUGUGACCUGAGAUGAGACCGACUCAUUGUGUACUCAUUUUUGUAUUUAUAACAAAUAUUACAACAUGGAGGACAAAGUAGAUGUCAAGA